AGAACUGAAGCCAAAACCAACAGAGUCCUGCAGGAAUUAUCCGCCCGCCUGGACGGAGCCCAGAACCAGGAAUCGGUCUCAGAGCGAGUGGAGCGACGGCUGCAGCAACUGGAGCGGGAGAUGAGAACAGAGCGGCAGCAAAUGGAGAGGCGUCAGGACCAGCUGGGACAUGUGUCUGUGCAGCUGCACGAGCUAUUAUAAUAAAACUAUUGUUACUAAAUGGUAAGUGAAUGGUCUUCAGCCCCAAGAGGAGAGAAUGGACCAGCGUCCCCCGUGUCCUGGGAAACUUCUGUAAUUGAAUAGAGGAUAUAGGAGAGACUGGAGUUGUA